GAUGGUGGAGGAUGGCUGUCCGAGCACAGAGGGAGGAAAAGCAUAGUGUUACUGAAGCCUGGAGAGGCUGCUGAAUCCUCACUGCGUGUUGCUGGGUGUGCAUUCAUCCCUGCCAACAUGUGAUGCCAUUGUUAGGGAGAGUUAAUGGCCCACUGUGCAGAGGGUGGAAGACUGUGCUCCCGUGGAUGACUGAAGGUGCCUGUGAAUCUGCUCUGCUUGAAUCAGCAGUGUGCAGUGCUCCUGGUGUUCCUGGUACACCGUGCUCUUCCCCUUGACCAUGAACAUGCAGCCACCAGCCAAGAAGCCAGCACCUCAAUGGCUACAGCCCUAAGAUGAGUUGACAGUGAUCCUGUAUUGGCUGUGUGACAUCUGCACAUCCUGUGAUGCCAGCAACGUGUAGGUGCCAAGAUUUUUUGUCUCAGGCACUGCUUCUCUUAGGACACGUCAUGCUGUUGUUCCAGCUGCCUUAUCUGGGAAUGAAUGAAGGAAUACAUUUAUGAGGUGAUGCCAGAACCUAGAAGGGAACGGAAUGUGUCUGCACCUCUGUCUUCCUUCUUAAAUGUCAGCUCCAAAGCUUGUGCUGACAAGCUUUGGCUCUCUGUUCCUGCGUCUGGCCUUUGGACGCCCUUUGGAUGACUAAAGGAAUGGGGAAAUGCAGAUUUGUCAGAACAGGGCCCAGGAGAUGAUUUCUCAGGCACUGUUUUGGGAGUGAAUGAUACCAAUUACUCUCUGAAACAAGAAUCUCCAGACAACGAGCCUGUUCACCUACUUAUUGGCAAAGGGCCAUCCUCUGAAGGUGAUGACUCUUAACAGUGCGGUGGAUUUGUUACUUCUGCCACCAACUUCACCAAAACAAUGAUACAGUCAUCCUUAUGCACGGAGACCCUCCCCUUCCUGCGUUGCAGUGGACACCUCCUGCAGAUAAGAAAUGCGUAACUGAGAAAUGCUCAUGUUGGGAUGUCAUCGCUGAGACUUUAAUUUGGGCAUGGUGACUGUUUCCCUUCUGCCACUUGAUUCAAUCCCAGGAGCCUCAGUAGAGGAAAUUUAUUGCACAAGAAACUCAAAAUGAUGGAAUUGCUCAGUGCUCCCAUAAAUAUACAUUUAUAAUUUUCAUGCCAUGUGGUAAAUUUAAAACAUAAGAUAUAUUUAAAAGAACUUGCAUGUUUUUUUCCCCAAAAUUCAAAGCAUAUAAAAAUAUCUAACAUAAAUUAAGUGCCCUCUUCUUUCUCAAUUCUGUCCCCCAGAGUUUUCCUCUAUUUAGGGAAUUGUGUGCAUUUUGUAAGUGGAUAGAUGCACACAAACGCACGUGCAGUUAAUUUUGGGGGGUUCUCUACACAUUCUUCUGCAAAUUGCCUUUUAUUUAACAGUUUUUCAAUGCCCUUUUCUAUUUCAAUAGUACACACCUUUGUCAUUUGUUGAAUGACUGCAUGAUUGUUUUGUAGAUAUAAUGAAAUUCAGGUCUUAAGCAUUUCUCAUUCAAAGAUAUUUAUGUUAGCACCAAAUUUCUGUGCAAUGAGCCUCCCUAUAUAGCAAUAAUUUUGCAAUUGUCUACUAUAUCAUAAUAAAUUUCUUAGCAGUUGAAGUACUGGGAUUAAGGAGAUAAACAUUUUUCAAAUUUUGAAAAUUAUUACAAGAUUUCCUUUAAAAUGUGGUAACAACUUUACCCGCAAAUGGCAAUGAAUGAGAUUGCCAUCUCCCACAACUUUACAAAUAAUGGAUUUUAUAAAAACUUAAAAUCUUUGCAAAUGUUAUAGCCCAAACUAUUGUCUUAAACUGUAUUUCUUUUGUUUUUUAGUUUAAUCAUUUUCUCCAUGUUUAUUAGUCAUCUGUAUUUUUUUAAUUUCUUCUUUAUGUCCAAUUUUGGGGGUGGGGGAGGAUUUAGUCUUUUCCUGAACUCAUUUGUUAUUGGGGGAAUGAGCUUUGGAUUGUCAAGCAUUACAGAUAUUUUUACACACUCUAAACUUUGUUUUUAUUACAAGAAUGUGUAUGAUUGUUAUAUGUCCAAGUAUAACCAUGUCUGCUUCUAUGGCUUCUGAGUUUCAUGUCAUUUUGAAAAGAUAUUUAUACUGAUUCCAUAAAACUCUUCACCUAUGUUAACUUCUAAUUAUUUUGUGGUUUUUAAUUCAAAUUCGUAAAAUCAUGAGAAAUUUUUUUUAUUUGAAAUCUUAAAAUUGCCAAGUUAUUUGCCAUUAUUUGCGAUUAUUUGCCAAUAAUUGCGCAUUUAUCUGUAAUGCCAUCUUGCACAUAUGCUGUAUUCUCAUCUGUGACUGGCUCCAUUUUUGUUCUGUGGAUCUGUGUGUCUCUUCUUCUGCCUCCUGUCUCAUGUGUCUUCUCAUUGGAAGAAAUUACAGUUUAGACUGCAAUUUCCUCAACUUUAAUAAAUUAAUAUGGGGGAAAAUUGGUUCUUAAUAAUGUAACUCUUCCUAUCCAAGGACAAGGUAUGUCUUUCUUUUAUUCAAUAACUUACUAAUGGCUGAUAUUUUCACUAUGCAAUGGGUAUAUUUUCUGUCAGCUUAUUUUCAUGAUAAUUUACUGUUUCUGAAAGUCAGUUUUAUUUUGGGGGAUAAGUGAUCACUUUACUCUUUGUCAUGACUUUUCAGAUUGUUUCAAAUAUGUACUAAAUUCUUUGCAAAUAUUGAUAGCUUGUAUGCUCCCUUUUUAAUGAUCUGGAUUUUAGUUAUGUUGAGAAGGUUACUGACUGGUACUUGUGGAACACUUAUGUGAUUGUGGAAAUAUCGCUUCCCUUGAUUUGGGUUUUAAGACAAUGUUUCUUUGGUUUGGCUAAUCUGGUAUCCAAAAAGACUCCCAGAAGGAGAUAUGAUCAAGGAAACUGAGUUCUUUAUACCUUUAAGAGCAAGGGAAAACAUCACUUUGGCAAAACUAAGUAGUGUUUCAAAGACAGGUGAAAAGGACUUUUGGUUCAGGACUGGUAGGUUUAGCAGUAGGUGAGAGAGUUAGGUGAGGGUCUUGACUUGAGUCCAGAAAAUUGCCUGAUAAUAAGCUGUUUCGCCUAUGUAAGAUGUUAUCAAUCAUAUGAGAGCUAUUUGUGUAGAUGAGCAAGUUGUGCAAUAGUUUUAUCUUCUUAGAUUGGACUCUGCAGGGUAGUUUCCAAGUCUCAGUUCUAGUAAGUUAUUUUGAUGUGGGUGGUCUCAAGCAUCAAUAUAAGGUGCUAAUUUUAAAUUGGACAGAUUUUUAUGCAUCAUGUUAGGAAAAUCUCCUAAAUUUUAUAUUUUUCUAAGGAAUUUUCAUCAAAGUUAGGUGGUAGAGAUAAUCAAUUAUUUUUGCAUAAAUAAUUGUAUUUCUUAAUUAUACCUUUAUCAUUGUGAAAUAAUCUAUUUUCUAUUAUUGAGGUUUUCUUUUUUUUUCUUGAAUGAACAAGCUCCACCUGCUUAAAGUGUUUUAUAUCUACUAUAGAAAUAUGAGUAUCUCAUUUGAUUUGGAAUUUUUUUCAAGCUUAGUACUAAAUGAGCUUAAUUUGUAAUUUUUUUUCUAUUUUUAUCAUGUUUUGAUAUGAGUUUCCUGGUCAUGUUAAAAU